AAACUCUUAUCCUUCUCUUUGACAAUGCCACCAUUGUCAUCACAUUUCUAAAGUGUAUUUCUUGAAUUAUAGUAUUCUAAUAAUUAUUUAUCUGUUCUAGUAAGACAAACUGAAAAGGUUCCACAGAGUGUGUGCAUUAUAAGUUUCUUAAAAUUAAUCUCCACUAAAGAAAAAGUCCCUCCCCUCCCUCCCUUUACUAAUCCAUUUCUAAAGAACUUGUGCGACUUGUGUAAGUUCCAAUGGAGGAGGAUUCAAGCCAAUUAGCAGAAGCAACAGCACCACCCCACACCAUGGAAGCUAGUCAAGAAGAAGAAAGAGACCCGGAAAGCAAUUCGCUUCAGCAGCCACUCCUCAAAAGAAAUAGAACUCUAUCUUCGAGUCCACUAGCCAUUGUUGGAGCUAAAGUUUCGUAUAUAGAGAGCUUGGAUUAUGAGAUCAAUGAAAAUGAUCUUUUCAAGCAUGAUUGGAGAAGUAGAUCCAAUGUCCAAAUUCUGCAGUAUAUAUUCUUGAAAUGGAUUCUUGCCUUUCUUGUUGGACUUUUGACUGGCUUGAUCGCCACCCUUAUCAAUCUUGCAGUUGAGAAUAUCGCUGGUUACAAGCUUCUUGCGGUUGUUCGUUUCAUAGAGAACGAAAGGUACUUAACAGGGUUGGCCUACUUUACUGGGGUUAAUCUUAUUUUAACUGCCUUUGCUUCUGCUUUAUGUGUAUGGUUUGCACCCACCGCUGCUGGCCCUGGUAUUCCGGAGAUUAAAGCUUACCUCAAUGGAAUUGAUACUCCUAACAUGUUUGGAGCUACAACUUUGAUUGUUAAGAUAUUUGGAAGCAUAGGCGCAGUUGCUGCUGGACUAGAUUUGGGGAAAGAAGGGCCUUUGGUGCACAUUGGCAGUUGCAUUGCUUCUUUACUAGGCCAAGGGGGACCUGAUAAUCAUCGUCUCAAGUGGCGCUGGCUUCGCUACUUUAACAAUGACAGGGAUCGUCGGGACAUUAUUACAUGUGGUUCUUCCUCAGGUGUUUGUGCAGCUUUCCGUGCCCCAGUUGGUGGUGUCCUGUUUGCUCUUGAAGAGGUAGCAACAUGGUGGAGGAGUGCACUACUCUGGAGAACUUUCUUCAGCACAGCAGUAGUGGUGGUGAUCCUCAGGGCAUUUAUUGAGAUCUGCAAGUCAGGGAAGUGUGGACUGUUUGGGAAAGGAGGGUUGAUCAUGUUUGAUGUGAGUGAUGUUACGGUCAGCUACCAUGUGAUGGAUAUACUCCCAGUCAUUAUCAUUGGCAUUAUUGGUGGACUUUUGGGAAGCCUGUACAAUUAUCUUCUUCACAAAGUCCUCAGACUCUACAAUCUCAUCAACCAGAAGGGAAAAAUGCAUAAGCUGCUUCUCAGUUUAACUGUCUCACUCUUUACCUCAGUGUGCCUAUACGGUCUUCCGUUUCUUGCUAAAUGCCAACCUUGUGAUCCCUCCGUAACUGAAUUAUGCCCCACUAAUGAUCGGUCAGGCAACUUCAAACAAUUCAACUGUCCAAAAGGCCAUUAUAAUGACCUUGCUACUCUCCUUCUUACCACAAAUGAUGAUGCAGUCCGAAACAUCUUCUCCUCCAACACUCCCCAUGAAUUUCAGCCUGCAACCCUCCUCAUUUUCUUUGCACUCUAUUGCGUCCUAGGAUUAUUUACCUUUGGCAUUGCUGUUCCUUCAGGACUUUUCCUCCCUAUCAUUCUUAUGGGCUCAGCAUAUGGGCGCUUGCUCGGUGUUGCCAUGGGAUCAUAUACCAACCUUGACCAGGGACUGUAUGCAGUGCUUGGUGCAGCCUCACUGAUGGCUGGCUCAAUGAGGAUGACGGUUUCACUGUGUGUUAUUUUCCUGGAACUCACCAACAACCUGCUAUUACUUCCUAUAACAAUGAUAGUCCUCUUGAUAGCUAAAACAGUAGGAGACAGCUUUAAUCCAAGUAUCUAUGAAAUUAUCUUGCACCUAAAAGGCCUGCCUUUCUUGGAUGCAAAUCCUGAGCCUUGGAUGAGAAAUCUCACGGUAGGUGAGCUAGCUGAUGCUAAACCACCAUUAGUUACUCUUUGUGGAGUGGAGAAGGUGUCUCGCAUUGUGGAUGUCCUGAAAAACACCACAUACAAUGGAUUCCCUGUUGUGGAUGAUGGAGUGAUACCUCCUGUGGGACUUGCAACUGGAGCAACAGAACUGCACGGACUUAUCUUAAGAGCUCACCUUGUUCAAGCAAUUAAGAAGAAGUGGUUCCUGCGAGAGAAAAGAAGAACAGAGGAGUGGGAAGUAAGACAGAAGUUCACCUGGGUUGAUCUGGCUGAGAGGGAAUUGAAGAUUGAGGAGGUCGCGGUGACAAGGGAUGAAAUGGAAAUGUAUGUUGACCUGCAUCCUCUUACAAAUACUACACCUUACACAGUGGUGGAGAGCAUGUCAGUGGCAAAAGCUAUGGUGCUCUUCAGGCAAGUAGGGCUUCGCCACUUGCUCAUUGUUCCCAAAUAUGAAGCAUCCGGGGUACCUCCAGUGGUCGGAAUCUUGACCAGACAGGACUUAAGGGCAUACAACAUCUUGAGUGCCUUUCCUCAUUUGGCUAGAUCCAAGGACAGAGAAAAGCGGCACUAAAUUUAUCAUCAUUCACUAAGUGAUAAUACAAGCUUGGAGCUACAAUUUUCCUCGUCUUCCCUUCAUUUUUGCUGGAGUUCCAAAUUCUUUCAUCAGAUUCUACAGGAGAUAGGCCAGCUUGUUGGCCCCUCUUAAAUACAGCCAGAAUCUCAAUGCUGCAACCAUAACCCAGGAUAACCACUAAUCAGACUUCAGACAUCAUGAAAUAAAAAGAAUAUACAGAAAUCCAGUAUUCAUGGGGCAAUCAAUCUGUCCGCACACAGUAUUUGCUCCAUUCAGAAGAUUGGAAAAGGUGCUUUCAUAUUAAUGCUACUCUGUCUGUAUUAGAAGCAAUACUUAUGGAUUAGGAACUUGGUGAUCUGAAUAAUCUAAAAAUUUCUGCCUUAGCGGUUA